UACGUAGGGUGCAAGCGUUAAUCGGAAUUACUGGGCGUAAAGCGUGCGCAGGCGGUUUUGUAAGUCUGUCGUGAAAUCCCCGGGCUCAACCUGGGAAUUGCGAUGGAGACUGCAAGGCUAGAAUCUGGCAGAGGGGGGUAGAAUUCCACGUGUAGCAGUGAAAUGCGUAGAGAUGUGGAGGAACACCGAUGGCGAAGGCAGCCCCCUGGGUCAAGAUUGACGCUGAGGCGCGAAAGCGUGGGGAUCAAACAGG
rnacentral:rRNA from 1 species